GAUGAACGCUGGCGGCGUGCCUAAUACAUGCAAGUCGAGCGAACAGACGAGGAGCUUGCUCCUCUGACGUUAGCGGCGGACGGGUGAGUAACACGUGGAUAACCUACCUAUAAGACUGGGAUAACUUCGGGAAACCGGAGCUAAUACCGGAUAAUAUAUUGAACCGCAUGGUUCAAUAGUGAAAGACGGUUUUGCUGUCACUUAUAGAUGGAUCCGCGCCGCAUUAGCUAGUUGGUAAGGUAACGGCUUACCAAGGCAACGAUGCGUAGCCGACCUGAGAGGGUGAUCGGCCACACUGGAACUGAGACACGGUCCAGACGCCUACGGGAGGCAGCAGUAGGGAAUCUUCCGCAAUGGGCGAAAGCCUGACGGAGCAACGCCGCGUGAGUGAUGAAGGUCUUCGGAUCGUAAAACUCUGUUAUUAGGGAAGAACAAAUGUGUAAGUAACUAAGCACGUCUUGACGGUACCUAAUCAGAAAGCCACGGCUAACUACGUG
rnacentral:rRNA from 1 species